ensembl:lncRNA
GCAAAGUCCCAGGUUGACAUCCAGUAUCAUCAAAACUAAAUCAUUUAAAAUUAUUUAAAAACUUACAAAAAUCAGCAAUUAUAGAUUAAGCAUGCUCUAAGUCAUUACAAUUAAUUGGAGAUUUUAUGGACAUGCUUAGCUUAAAAACAUUUAGGAAAUUAUAUAAAAAAUGUGAUGUUACCUUUGGAAUAGCCAACGUAAAGGCCAUCAUGUGUAAGUCUAUUUAAAAUAUUUAAUGAAAGAAAAUAGCGAAAUGUGUUAACUUUUGUGGGAUCAGGAAUCACAGGCAGUCUUCCUAAUGCUCCUAAUGUUGUUUUGUUUUGUUUGUUAUUGUUUGCUUUGUUUUGUUCUUUAUAUGCCUGUUCCAAAAUAUUAAAUGCAGAAAAAGUACAGGGGCCAUCUCACUUCAGGAGAGUCCUUCUCUAUAUGACUACUCUUAGCAAAAUUCAGCGUUCAAGAAGACUGAAUCAAAGAACAAAGCUAAAGGUCUUCAGCAAGCAAGGAAGAAACUGGACCUUGAAGACAGCAAAAACUUUGAAGUAAGACUGAAUUUCAUAUCAGCUCCAUGUUUCUGGGGGUGUGAGAGCAAGGGAUGUGUGAUUAGGAGCACUGCUCAAUGAACACACUGGAUGCAGCAUUACACCAGGAGAAUAAACUUCUUCUGUACAAGCUGGGUGACACUGAAUAUGUGAUGCAAUUGAAGCAUCCCAUUAAGGAAAAAGAACAUAUUCAUCUGGAUAGGAGAUAGGAAAAGAAGGAGUGAGUUCUGCAGAAAUGACUUCCAGGAGAAAAUGAUUUAAUAGAUAGUGGGCUAUGACUUCUGGGAAUUUCUUUUCAUAAAUCAAUAAUCAAGACAUGAAUAAGUAUAGAGAUGGGUAGUUGUUAUAAUGUUACAAAAUGUGUCAACUGAAAAGAAUGACUUAGGGUUCAUCAAAGAAGUUAAUGAAUAUCACUAGGUAAUAUCCUCUAUGAGGUCAUACUGGUGUUCUGAAGCCCAGGAGUGUGAAAACAAACCAAGGAUACAUACUCUGUAGGACUGACAAGCUUUCUGAAAUGAUCACAGGAGGCCAAAGGCACAAAAUCAGAUCCAGAGGAUAACACAGUUGUAAAGGAGACUUAACAUAGGGAAUGCAGAAAAAAGAUAUAAGAAAAAUAAAUGAAAAUUAUCAUAUGUACUAGUAUCGUACCUGAUGUGGAUUGAGAAACCAUUGUAUAAAAUCCCUUCAGUUAGAGUAAAUUUAGAGAGGGAAACAUUUCUAAAAUAUAUUUCACCUUUACCUGAAUGAUAAAAAAACAACACACUGAAAAAAAAUUUGUUUUUGAAGAUUUUGAUGACUUUGUCAACACAUUCAUUUCUAAAAUGGCUGUUGUCCAAAGGCUGAGGGUGGUUAAUUAUACAUUUUUUCAUAUUUCUCUCUCUGUUUCUGUCUCUGUCUGUCUGUCUAUCUGUCUCUGCCUCUGUCUCUGUCUCUCUGUGUCUGUCUCUGUGUCUGUCUAUCUGUCUGUCUGUCUGUCUGUCUGUCUCUCUCUCUCUCUCUCUCUCUCUCUCUGUGUGUGUGUUGUGUUGUGUGUGUGUGU